rnacentral:rRNA from 1 species
GACGAACGUUGGCGGCGUGCUUAAUACAUGCAAGUCAACUGAAGCAGUGGUAGCAAUAUCGCUGUGGAGGUGGCGCACGGGUGAGUAACACGUAGGUAAUCUGCCUUCAGGUCUGGCAUAACUCCGGGAAACCGGGGCUAAUAGCAGAUGAUGCAGCGGCUCGACAUCGAGACAGUUGUUAAAGCUAUGGCGCCUGAAGAUGAGCCUGCGUCUGAUUAGCUAGUUGGCGGGGUAACGGCCCACCAAGGCAACGAUCAGUAGCUGGUCUGAGAGGAUGAUCAGCCACACUGGAACUGAGACACGGUCCAGACUCCUACGGGAGGCAGCAGUAAGGAAUAUUGCGCAAUGGGAGAAAUCCUGAAGCAGCAACGCCGCGUGAGGGACGAAGGGCUUUUGCUUGUAAACCUCUGUAGUGAGAGAAAAAAAUCCCAAUCUGUGGGACAUGAUGGUAGCUCAAAAGUAAGCCCCGGCUAACUACGUG